rnacentral:rRNA from 1 species
GAUGAACGCUGGCGGCGUGCUUAACACAUGCAAGUCGAACGAGAAGUGAAGACGGAAACCUUCGGGCGGAAGGCUUUAUUUCGAGUGGCGGCCGGGUGAGUAACGCGUGGGUAACCUGCCUCAUACAGGGGGAUAACAGUUGGAAACGACUGUUAAUACCGCAUAAGACCACUGCACCGCAUGGUGCGGGGGUAAAAACUCCGGUGGUAUGAGAUGGACCCGCGUUCGAUUAUCCAGUUGGCGCGGUAACGGCCCACCAAAGCGACGAUCGAUAGCCGAGCUGAGAGGAUGACCCGCCACACUGAGACUGAGACACAGCCCAAACUCCUACGGGAGGCAGCAGUGCGGAAUAUUGCACAAUGGGGGGAACCCUGAUGCAGCUACGCCGCGUGAGUGAAGAAGUAUGUCGGUAAGUAAAGCUCUAGCAGCAGGGAAGAAAAUGACGGUACCUGAGUAAGAAGCCACGGCUAACUACGUG